rnacentral:tRNA from 1 species
GGUAUCGUAGCUCAGUUGGUAGAGCGUGCCCUGCACAAAAGCGUAGGUGGCGUGGGUUCGAAUCCCACCGGGGCUA